rnacentral:rRNA from 1 species
GACGAACGCUGGCGGCGUGCUUAACACAUGCAAGUCGAACGGAAGGGCCCUGCUUUUGUGGGGUGCUCGAGUGGCGAACGGGUGAGUAACACGUGAGUAACCUGCCCUUGACUUUGGGAUAACUUCAGGAAACUGGGGCUAAUACCGGAUAGGAGCUCCUGCUGCAUGGGGGUGGAUGGAAAGUUUCGGCGGUUGGGGAUGGACUCGCGGCUUAUCAGCUUGUUGGUGGGGUAGUGGCUUACCAAGGCUUUGACAGGUAGCCGGCCUGAGAGGGUGACCGGCCACAUUGGGACUGAGGUACGGCCCAGACUUCUACGGGAGGCAGCAGUGGGGAAUAUUGCACAAUGGGCGGAAGCCUGAUGCAGCAACGCCGCGUGCGGGAUGACGGCCUUCGGGUUGUAAACCGCUUUCGCCUGUGACGAAGCGUGAGUGACGGUAAUGGGUAAAGAAGCACCGGCUAACUACGUG